AAGCUGAGAAAACCCAACAACUGUCCAAAUUAGGGAUGCAGUAUAUUUCAGUACUAAUACACAGAUUGCAACAGCUAUAGUCUACAGUACUGUUUGGGAGACCCUCAGAAGAUAAACAACUUGUUGUCAAUAUUAAAUUUAUUAUCAAUACAUGAAAGAAUUUUGAAGUUUCAACAGGUGUUCAAUGCUGAAAAAUCAAAGAACUAGGGGUAUUUGUGUGUGCUGAUUGGUAAAGUUUUAUGAAGAGGAGUCUGGCAGAGACCAUGACAUUUUCUCAUCUAAAGCUGAUCUAUAGCUAUGACAGGGAUGGUGAAAUAAAUUAAUUCAUGUUUUCUCCGAAAACCAGUGAUGGCAAACCUAAAGUGACUGGAAUAUCUAAAGUUGUACAAAAUUUUGUCCAAAAGUUGUAUGAAUUUUUUGCUGCCACAUGUAUUUAUCAAUUGUACCUAAACAAGUUGGUCUGUAUUAUGGAUCAUCUACUAGUAUCACACAUACCUAAUGAGAUUACUGUCGAAGUCCUUAUAGUAUCUACAUUAUUUUAUAUCACAAGUACUAUUUAUUGUGUCAUUAAAUCUGGAAAUUCAUUUUCAAAGUCUGUAUCAAAUGUUUAUCACUCUGCUUUGAUACAAUUUACUGUUGCUAUAAAUUUUUAACCUCAGCAUUUCUUUGAAAAAUUUUUAUUCUUUUGUGUACAUUUUUAAAUUCUAGACAGAAUUAUAAAUUCACAUUAUUUGCAGAAUUUCAAACCAUUUUCAUUUAUAUUAAUCAAUUUUGUACAUUGAGUUACUGUAAAUGUAUUAUAUUUAGCAUGUACGCUAUUUGGCGGAAAUUGAUUUUUGAACAAGUUAGCAUAGAUAUGAUUUAGCGGAUAACUUAAUGUUCUUAUCAAUAUGUAUAUUUGCAAAACAUUUAGCAUUGUACUUGAAUUAAUGGAAGUUUCCGCCAAAAACACUAAAAAGAAUACACAGCCAAAUGUGA